rnacentral:lncRNA from 1 species
CGUCUGGCCCCGCAGGGCGGCGGCUCCAGCCUCACUCCCGCUGCUCCCCGGCUGCAGGGGCGGCGCAAGGUGCAGGAGCGGAUCCUCCGGACGCGCCGGGAGCUGGAGGAGGAGAAACUCCGAGCCCAGCAGCUCAAGAGGAAGUCCCUGCGAGACCAGUGGCUGAUGGAGGGGUCGUGUCUGCCCCCCGAGAACAACCCCACCUCCCCACUAUGGCAGACACAGUCCCGCAUCCAGGAGUUAGAGCAGGACCUGUCCAGCCUCCAGUCCCAGAUGCAGCAGCUGGAUAACCCGGAGCAUCACGGCAGGCCCCACGAGGCCUUGGAAGAUGCCAAGCAGCCAGCCGGAGGCACCUGUGAGGUAAUGCAGCGGGGCAGGAGGAGGGGGGAGCGCAUGCUGCAACAGGAGCUGUGGGGCAGGGGGUUGCACGCCAUACCCAAGCCAGGGGGAGCCCCCCUCUGCGUGCUCCCAACGAUUAACUCCUGGGUGGGCACAUGGGGCGGGUAAGAGGGCAGCGGGGGAUGGACAGGCUCAGUCCCCCCGAAGAUCUAGUGGGGUCCCUCUGUGGUUAUGCAGACAGCACAGCCCGGCGGUGAACGUGCUGCCUGCGGGGGGCAGAGUCUCCUAACCCCCACCCAGCCCUCCCCUGCUACUCAAGGGGGAGUCAGACCCCUCUGCUCCCUGGCCUGGCUUGGUGCCAUUUCAUUGAACCUGGCGGCUAAAAACACAAUACUGGUUGUGCCCUGACAUGCAAAUCAUUCUGGCCACUGACCAGACGGGGCC